AGAGCGAACGCUGGCGGCAGGCCUAAUACAUGCAAGUCGAACGGAUCCUUCGGGAUUAGUGGCGGACGGGUGAGUAACACGUGGGAACGUGCCCUUUGGUUCGGAACAACUCAGGGAAACUUGAGCUAAUACCGAAUGUGCCCUUCGGGGGAAAGAUUUAUCGCCAUUGGAGCGGCCCGCGUCUGAUUAGCUAGUUGGUGGGGUAAAGGCCCACCAAGGCGACGAUCAGUAGCUGGUCUGAGAGGAUGAUCAGCCACACUGGGACUGAGACACGGCCCAGACUCCUACGGGAGGCAGCAGUAGGGAAUCUUGCGCAAUGGGCGAAAGCCUGACGCAGCCAUGCCGCGUGAAUGAUGAAGGUCUAGGAUUGUAAAAUUCUUUCAGCGGGGACGAUAAUGACGGUACCGCAGAGAAGCCCGGCUAACUACGUGCCAGCAGCCGC
rnacentral:rRNA from 1 species